rnacentral:ncRNA from 1 species
CCUUCAUGGUCAGCUCUUCCUGUCAUUGUGAGGCAGAAUUGGACAGGCGUCAGAUUGUUCACCCACUACAAGGGAAUGUGAGCCGGGUCACACUGUCGUGAGACAGCUC